AUGUUUCAUUUCAAAUUUCCUGCCCUAUCAACUUUCGACGGUAGGGUAGUGGCCUACCGUGGUGGUAACGGGUGACGGAGGAUUAGGGUUCGAUUCCGGAGAGGGAGCCUGAGAAACGGCUACCACAUCCAAGGAAGGCAGCAGGCGCGCAAAUUACCCAAAUCCCAACUCGGGGAGGUAGUGACAAGAAAUAACGAUGCUCCGGCCAUCGGUCGGGUAAUCGGAAUGAGAACAAUUUAAAUCCCUUAUCGAGGAUCAAUUGGAGGGCAAGUCUGGUGCCAGCAGCCGCGGUAAUUCCAGCUCCAAUAGCGUAUAUUUAAGUUGCUGCGGUUAAAAAGCUCGUAGUCGGAUUUCGGGUGGUGCCUACCGGUCCGCCUUUGGUGUGUACUGGUAGGCGCCACCUUUCUGCCGAGGACGGGUUCCUGGGCUUAACUGUCUGGGGCCCGGAGUCGGCGACGUCACUUUGAGUAAAUUAGGGUGUUUAAAGCAGGCUUAUGCUCUGUAUACACUAGCAUGGGAUGACACGAUAGGACUUCGGUCUAUCUUGUCGGUCUGUAGAUCGGAGUAAUGAUUAAGAGGGACAGUCGGGGGCAUUCGUAUUUCGUAGUCAGAGGUGAAAUUCUUGGAUUUACGGAAGACGAACUUCUGCGAAAGCAUUUGCCAAGGAUGUUUUCAUUGAUCAAGAACGAAAGUCGGGGGCUCGAAGACGAUUAGAUACCGUCGUAGUCUCGACCAUAAACGAUGC
rnacentral:rRNA from 1 species